AAUGUGAUGGGUACAUUGACAUUAAACGGGCACAUUUUGGCAACCUUGAAAAUGACAUUCACAAUAUAUGUAUUUGCAAAUUUACCUCAUUGGUGCACUUGGCACGGCUUGCUAUUGCCUUGAAAAUGGAUUAGCGAGGACUCCUCCCAUGGGAUGGUUGUCUUGGGAGCGAUUUCGGUGCAAUACCGACUGUGUAAAUGAUCCCGACAAUUGUAUUAGUGAACGACUAUUUCAAGUAAUGGCUGAUCUUCUUGUCUCGGAGGGAUAUGCGUCUGUGGGAUAUGAAUAUGUUAAUAUUGAUGACUGUUGGCUGGAAAGGCACCGGGCUCCUGACGGCAAACUUUUAGCUGAUCACAAGCGAUUUCCCCAUGGAAUUAAAUCAUUGUCUGACUAUAUUCACUCACGAGGAUUGAAGUUCGGAAUUUAUGAAGACUAUGGCAAUUUCACAUGCGCUGGCUAUCCUGGUAUCAUAGGGUUUGAAAAAUUAGAUGCACAUCAGUUUGCAGAAUGGAAUGUUGACUAUGUAAAAUUAGAUGGCUGCUACGCAUUACCAUAUGAUAUGGAUCGAGGCUAUUCCGAGUUUGGAAGACAUCUCAAUAGCACUGGAAAACCAAUGGUUUAUUCUUGCAGUUGGCCUGUUUACCAAAUAUACGCCGGAAUUCAACCAAAUUUUUCAGCCAUUCAAAGUCAUUGCAAUCUGUGGAGAAAUUUCGACGAUAUCCAAGAUUCAUGGGCGUCUGUUGAAAAUAUUAUUGAUUAUUAUGGUAAUAAUCAAGAUGUGAUAGCUCCUAAUGCUGGCCCCGGACAUUGGAAUGAUCCUGACAUGUUAAUCAUUGGAAACUUUGGGCUUAGCUAUGAACAAGCAAAGACUCAAUUUGCUGUAUGGGCAAUUCUGGCUGCUCCUCUUUUAAUGUCUGUUGAUUUACGAACAAUACGGCCUGAAUUUAAGGAAAUUUUACUCAAUCGCAAGAUUAUUUCUGUAGAUCAAGAUCCAUUGGGGAUACAAGGUCGAAGAAUAUAUAAGCAUAAGGGAAUUGAAAUUUGGUCAAAACCAAUUAGUCCGGUUUAUCAAAGCUUUUAUUCUUAUGCUCUUGCAUUUAUAAAUAGACGGUCUGAUGGUACACCCUCUGAUAUUUCCGUAACAUUGAAGGAAUUGGGGCUUACCAAUAAUUAUGGAUAUAGAGUUGAGGUAAGUUUGUUUGAUCACACAUAAUAAGUAGUUAGUCGGGAAAAGGUGUCUAUUUCUACACUUCAUUCAUUAUACGAAUAUGAUGAAAAAGUAGUCGCAAAUGCUCGACUAGAAGAUACCCUGCACUCAGUUGCUAACAAAACAUUCGUUGUCCGAUCGUUAUAAUAUUUUUCCAUGUCACAAUGAUGACAAUAAAAUGUGUGAAUAUAGCAAUACACAGCUUAAUCUCCAAGAAGAAUCAAGAUGGCGGCGGUCUUCUAGGCAAGACCCUCAGGUCUUCGCUUUGGUGCCACUAGAUGCCACAGUGGAUGCCUCAUGGUGAACCUCCAUCGGGCCAAAAAGCGGAAGCUGUAUUCUAGCAGGGAUUCAUACUAAAGACAGCAUCUGCCUCGGAACAAUUAUGUCAUCAGGGACAUGUACACAAACAAUUCGAAGAAUUUCUUAAGAGAGACCUUGCAACUGCAACAAUGGUUGUGCCCACUUUGCAGAAGAAAAAGCCUAUGCACUCCCCGAAGUCGUGAGCCUGGUUAAACACUGAACACGAGAGCAGCUUCCUAUAAUCAUUGGCAGCAGCGACAUCAACUUAAGUGCCUGAUUGUUUUUAUUAUAAAUAAUAACUUAGAAAAUGUCGGAAGUAUACUGCCAUUCGAUACUAGAGUCAGGGAAAAUUGUAGGACAUAGCCUUGCUUAGCCCAUCCACCAACUGGUAUGUGUUUUUAUAAUAUUCCACGUCCGAUCCCAGAGAAAUCAAAACAAAUACAAUUAGCCCGUAUUCCAAAAAAAAAACAAGCUACGAUUUUUACCUCAGGUAUGUAUAUCAUUUACCAUUUUGCAAUGACCAUGGCGACCAAUAGACUUAUUAUUAUUUAUUGGGCAUCAUAUUUUAAAAAGUCAAUUAAAAAACUAGACAUAUAUAAUAUAGCAAGGAGCCUUAGGUGGAAGAUCAUGUAGAUAAAACUAAUUAUUGAGUUACAAGUUCAGAGAGGAGUUAAUUGUGAUAGAUUUGCUAAAGAAAGAUUUUUCCUUUCUUGUUAUGCUCUGUACCCAUAAAAUAAAAGAUUAUAAAUUGUAUGAUAAAUUUCGACAGAUAUUUCGAAAUUUCAAGACGGUAAGAUGAGACUGUCUGACUGUCUUUCCAUCUGCCUUUGAUAGUACCAGACAGGCUUAUAAUUGUACGCUAAGUAUUUAAAAACAAUUUUUUUUUAAAAACACCUCAGGUUAGAUUUAAGGACGUAUUCCUUAAAUGAAAAAUACAGCAUGUAUCCUAGUCGGGCGCUCUCGACUAGAUCAUUUUUGCUUUUAUUUUUGCAGUAACAAACUUAAAUGCUUCAUUCCUCCUUCAAAUUAUUUGCCGAAUAUCAUUCAAACAUUAUCAAAAAAACUAGUUUUUAAACACGAUUUUAAUUAUAAUUCUAUUACAAAGAAUGAACUUAUCUGCUUAUAUCUAAGGGUCGUCAUAAAACUGUUUUUAUCUCAGCAUGUAUGUACAAAUAUCUUUUGAAAAUCACUUAUAUCUUUCUUAAGACACAUUUAGUAUCAUCAUAGCCUAAUCACGGUAAUACUAACGCAAUUGAAGUAUUGUAAGUCUAAUGUAAUUUAGGACAUUAAUCCAAUAGACGUUAAUCUGUUAAGGACAUCAAUAAUGACUUCUAUAUUAUUCUUUCGGCCAUACAAAUUUUGUUGUUUUUGUAU